UACAGAAGCCCCGAGCGUUACCCGGAUUCACUGGGCGUAAAGGGUGCGUAGGCGGUUAUAUUAGUCGGGUGUUAAAUCCUGGGGCUCAACCCCAGGCUCGCAUUCGAAACGGUAUGACUAGAAGGAGUGAGAGGUGCAUGGAACUCAAGGUGUAGGGGUGAAAUCCGUUGAUAUCUUGGGGAACACCAAAUGCGAAGGCAAUGCACUGGCACUUUCUUGACGCUGAGGCACGAGAGCGUGGGUAGCGAACGGG
rnacentral:misc_RNA from 1 species